CUGCAACUCAUAAUAUUCGCAGCCUCCAUGUCUCGAGUUUGCUGCAAUUCAAGGAAAUUUUUUCGGAAAAUAUUCAAAACGCAAUCUCGAUAUAUCUUCUCAACCCAGCCACCACAGAUCUAGAAUUCGCAAUCUCUCUCCUCCGCAUAUUCUCCCAAUCUCCAUAGCCACUCGCUACUUCGCCGGAAAGUUUCCUGCUCCAUCGGAUCUGCAGCUCGCUCCUUUGCAUCUUCACCGCCUGCGUACCUUCAUCUUCUCCUCUGCUCCACUACGUACCUUCCUCUUCUCUGCUGCUCCACCGUCUGUAACAACGGGAAAGGACCCCUUGCUGGUAUUGCUAGUUUCUUGAACCAAAUCAUCCAUUUGAACUAUCAAGGCGUGAGUUCUUCUACUAGUGUGCUCAACAAGUUGAUGCAGUGGAUAGUGGUUAUUAUGUGAUGAAAUACAUGCAUAAUGUUGUCACAGUAUACAAUGAAUACAAGGAUAAUUUAUCUGAGGGUUAUGUACAAAGAGAAAUGCCAUAUUCUGAUGAGGAGUUAGAAGAAACUCGAGAACAAUGGGCAAAGUAUUUUAAGGACAACUAUUUGAUGGAUGCCGGCGAAUGAGUUUGUUGUCUAGCUAGUAAUGUUAUGUUUUAUGUUUUUGUUAUGUGUUGGAUAUGACGUUGGAUGCUACUUGGAGCAUAUAUAUGGUUGUUGGAACAUAUAUGUAUGUUAUGUCUUAUAUACAGGUCUUUAUAAAUUCCCGUUUUGCCGGGUUUCACAAAUUACAAGGGAAACUAUGGCAAA